UGGGGAAUUUUGCACAAUGGGCGCAAGCCUGAUGCAGCGACGCCGCGUGAGGGAUGAAGGCCUUCGGGUUGUAAACCUUUUUCGCUCAUGGUCAAGCCGCAGCUUUGGGUUGUGGUGAGGGUAGUGGGUAAAGAAGCGCCGGCUAACUACGUGCCAGCAGCCGCGGUAAUACGUAGGGCGCGAGCGUUGUCCGGAAUUAUUGGGCGUAAAGGGCUUGUAGGCGGUUGGCCGCGUCUGCCGUGAAAUCCUCUGGCUUAACUGGGGGCGUGCGGUGGGUACGGGUUGACUUGAGUGCGGUAGGGGAGACUGGAAUUCCUGGUGUAGCGGUGGAAUGCGCAGAUAUCAGGAGGAACACCGAUGGCGAAGGCAGGUCUCUGGGCAGUAACUGACGCUGAGGAGCGAAAGCAUGGGUAGCGAACAGG
rnacentral:rRNA from 1 species